rnacentral:ncRNA from 1 species
UGAAAAACGAUGAAGAGGGAAAGUAAGAUUAUGCGAUUUUCAAAGAGAGCUUCGGGAGCUGAAAAGAAGCAAAGUUGCUAAUCUGAACAAUGGCCUCAGAGUUUCGUGCUGAAAAUGUUUAAACAUGAGUAGGUUCCGACGGGAUGGUAUUCGUUACAAUUACCGCAGUAUAAAAGUAGUGUAUACUUUGUACUGAUUUGAGGCUGUUUGCAAGGGCAAAUGGUAAAGUAAGGUGGUACCACGUGAACUGAAACCACGUCCUUAUC